rnacentral:pre_miRNA from 1 species
UGGACAGAUUAUUGUAUUCGACUGUAUUCACGGCGUGAAACAUGGGAUUACACUGUUUUAAACGGAAAGUGAAUCAAUUAAUAUAAUAGACUCCU